UGGGGAAUAUUGCACAAUGGGCGAAAGCCUGAUGCAGCAACGCCGCGUGAGUGAUGAAGGCCUUCGGGUUGUAAAGCUCUGUCUUUUGGGACGAUAAUGACGGUACCAAAGGAGGAAGCCACGGCUAACUACGUGCCAGCAGCCGCGGUAAUACGUAGGUGGCAAGCGUUGUCCGGAUUUACUGGGCGUAAAGGAUGCGUAGGCGGAUUUUUAAGUGAGAUGUGAAAACCCUAAGCUUAACUUGGGGACUGCAUUUCAUACUGGAAAUCUAGAGUGCGGGAGAGGAGAAUGGAAUUCCUAGUGUAGCGGUGAAAUGCGUAGAGAUUAGGAAGAACACCAGUGGCGAAGGCGAUUCUCUGGACCGUAACUGACGCUGAGGCAUGAAAGCGUGGGUAGCAAACAGGAUUAGAUACCCUGGUAGUCCACGCCGUAAACGAUGAGUACUAGGUGUAGGAGGUAUCGACCCCUUCUGUGCCGCAGUUAACACAAUAAGUACUCCGCCUGGGAAGUACGACCGCAAGAUUAAAACUCAAAGGAAUUGACGGGGUCAUAGCUG
rnacentral:rRNA from 1 species